rnacentral:rRNA from 1 species
UACAGAGGGUGCAAGCGUUAAUCGGAAUUACUGGGCGUAAAGCGAGCGUAGUCGGUUAUUUAAGUCGGAUGUGAAAUCCCCGGGCUCAACCUGGGAAUUGCAUUCGAUACUGGAUAGCUAGAGUUCGGCAGAGGGAAGCGGAAUUUCGGGUGUAGCGGUGAAAUGCGUAGAUAUCUGGAGGAACACCGGUGGCGAAGGCGGCUUCCUGGACCGACACUGACGCUGAGGCGCGAAAGCUAGGGGAGCAAACGGG